rnacentral:tRNA from 1 species
GCCUGGCUGGCUGAGUUGGAAGAGCCUGCGACUCUUGAUCUCAGGGCUGUGGGUUCAAGCCCCAUGUUGGGUG